AAUUAAUACGGCGAUGGAGUUCGCCAUAACUGCCCUUGGGCUAAUGACUCCUACCUAAUU
rnacentral:ncRNA from 2 species